GGCAGCGGGGAUAGUACGUUGAAUGCACCGGUUAACGGUUCCCCAGUAGAUGACUGAAGUUAAGCGACGUUGGGCACGGUUGGUAUCCGGAUGGGUGACUAUCUGGAAAAUCGCGUGCUGCUGACU
rnacentral:rRNA from 1 species